rnacentral:rRNA from 1 species
AUGCACGACGAGCUCAUGUUAAUCGAGGAGAAUGUCACCUGGACUCUAAAUGAUUUUCCUACAGGAAAAAAGUUGAUCGACCUCAAAUGGGUUUACAAUCUCAAGAGCGAUGCCGUCAGCAACAUGGCGAAGCAUAAGGUGUGUCUAAUCGCGAAAGCCUACAUCCAACGUCCGGGGAUCGACUUCAAGGAAUUCUUUGCCUGGGCGGCUCGCCUGGAUUCCAGUCACCUCCUGCUCGCCGUCACCGCUCAGUUUAAGUGGAAAGUUCACCACAUGGACGUGAAGACAACCUUGCUCAACGAUGAGCUUAGUGAGGAGGUCCAUGUCACCAGCCUUCAGGAUUAA